rnacentral:rRNA from 1 species
AUGACUCGGGGAGGCGCGAAGGCAGGGGCGCGGACGAAGCAGUUGCGGGCAACGGCGGGCAUGGGAGGCGCCCUUGUGUGCGCCCGUGGCGUCGAGCACGGGAGGAGAGGCAAGGCCGCGAUGAAGCAGCGGACGGGGUCCUGCGACGUGCGGCUCUGGCCGCUCGAUGCAGGGGCGCAACAGGGGCCGAUGCAGGUCGUGAUGACGACAUCGGCGCGGGACAUGGCGUGCGGCAGCGGCGGGACAUGGCAGCGGGGCGGCGGGAUCGGACGAAGAAGCACGAGCAGGAGGGGAUCGGGAUGA